AGCUUUGCGCAGUGGCAGUAUCAUAGCCAGUGAGGUUUAUCUGAGGCAUGAUUAUUGCUAAUUGAAAACAUUUUUCUUUUC
ensembl:snRNA U4 U4 spliceosomal RNA